rnacentral:rRNA from 1 species
AUACGAAGGGGGCUAGCGUUGUUCGGAAUUACUGGGCGUAAAGCGCGUGUAGGCGGAUCGUUAAGUCAGGGGUGAAAGCCCGGGGCUCAACCCCGGAACUGCCCUUGAUACUGGCGAUCUAGAGUCCGGAAGAGGUGGGCGGAAUUCCCGGUGUAGAGGUGAAAUUCGUAGAUUUCGGGAGGAACACCAGUGGCGAAGGCGGCUCACUGGUCCGGUACUGACGCUGAGACGCGAAAGCGUGGGGAGCAAACAGGAUUAGAAACCCUAGUAGUCC